rnacentral:rRNA from 1 species
CAGCAGCCGCGGGAAUACGAAGGGUGCAAGCGUUACUCGGAAUUACUGGGCGUAAAGCGUGCGUAGGUGGUCGUUUAAGUCUGUUGUGAAAGCCCUGGGCUCAACCUGGGAACUGCAGUGGAAACUGGACGACUAGAGUGUGGUAGAGGGUAGCGGAAUUCCUGGUGUAGCAGUGAAAUGCGUAGAGAUCAGGAGGAACAUCCAUGGCGAAGGCAGCUACCUGGACCAACACUGACACUGAGGCACGAAAGCGUGGGGAGCAAACAGGAUUAGAUACCCCAGUAGUCCCUGUCUCUUAUAC